UUAGAUACCCUGGUAGUCCACGCCCUAAACGAUGUCUACUAGUUGUCGGGUCUUAAUUGACUUGGUAACGCAGCUAACGCGUGAAGUAGACCGCCUGGGGAGUACGGUCGCAAGAUUAAAACUCAAAGGAAUUGACGGGGACCCGCACAAGCGGUGGAUGAUGUGGAUUAAUUCGAUGCAACGCGAAAAACCUUACCUACCCUUGACAUGUCAGGAACCUCCGAGAGAUUGGAGGGUGCCCGAAAGGGAGCCUGAACACAGGUGCUGCAUGGCUGUCGU
rnacentral:rRNA from 13 species